CGUCUAGGUAUGUGAUUGAUGAGCCCAUGGGAAGCAGGGUGGCUUGUGUAUUGGAAUUGGCACCCUAGUAUAGUUGGAAAGAUGAAGGCUCUACAAACCCUCCUGUCUUGGUUGCUGGGGAGGGCAGAGUGCUGCAAUGAGAAGCAUUAGAACCUGGAAAACCAGGCAAUUACCCAAGAUCAAGAUCAAGGUCGAGUUUUGGUCAGAGGCCAGGAAUGCAACACACGGUAGAAUCAUCCAAGUAGACCACUGGACCAGCUCUGUGGGAAACAGUUCAAAGAUGUUCAAAAUGUAAGAGCAAUGUGGUUCCCUUGAGAAGGCUAGAGGUAGCAUAUAAUUAGGAGACCUUGGAUAGAGGUGAGGCUUAACUAUGAUUUUUGUUCAAGGAAAAUCUUGAACUGGUUCCAUUCAGCUUUCAAUUGUAGACAUAGGGAUUUUUCCUGCAAAACCAUGCCAAGUGCCCAAGGGCCCCACCAUCCUUGUUGGGGGCCUACAAGUGUCCUGAGAUAUUGUUUUUUGUGUUGGUCAUAUGGGAUAAGUCCAACUGUGACAUCAUAGCCAAGUUGAGGCCACAGACAACUGUUAUCUAAAGAGUCAGUGAGAAAUCCUCACUGGAUGGCAACCAGUCUAGCCCCUGGGCAUGGGUGAAGCAAAGGGUCGUGCAUAAAUCUAGUUCCUCUUCCGGCUCAAGAUUCAGACAUUAUCAGAGGAAUAAAGAUUCUCAGAUAAAUUGCAGCCAUCAACAAUAAAGGGCUUCCUCAUGAGGGCAAGGAGUGCCAGGUUCGAUGCCACUGUGGGGGAAACGCCCUCUCCCCAUCUCUGUGCUGGGCUCCCACGGGAGGAAGUGCUUGGUUUCGGAAUAUCCUGCAGCUUCACGUGAAACAAUUUCACUUAUUCUGAUUUUGCAUCAAAACUCUCACUGGGCUCUAGCCUCUGGAGACAAAGCCUAUCAACCCAUGCGAACAGGCCCGUGAGAAGGGAUUGAAGUCAUUGUGCUUGGCCCAGGAACUUCUUGCUCUGAAGACUCCUACUCUACUAUUAUCUCUGGCAAGCCUCUCUGUGGCCCCAGGCCUUCCUUUGCGGCUCUCAAAUUACUAUUCUCUUUUGAGUUUCAGGGAUUUUUAAAAGGUGAUAAUCAACCUCUUAGCUGUUUCUACCAUGAAGGAGUUAGUUUUGAAACCCCGUGAAUAGCCGCUUACCUAUCUUGGCCAUUAAUGCCCAGCGUGAUGUCCUACCCACCAGGUGCCUCCUGGGCUCCACUAACUGUCUUCCGGCAGAGUCCUGUGCAACACCUAGGAUCAAAGCAAGAGAGAAAAUGCCCCAUUUUCUUGAUCUGCGCAUUUAAAAUCCAAAGCAGUUGUUUACACAGGAACUCUGGGCAUCACUGUAAAAGAAAAGACCCAAGACUAUUUGCAUCUCUCGGGACAUCCCAUUUCUUUUUUUCAUUUACAUUUUUUUAAAAUUUUUAUUUAUUUAUGAUAGUCACAGAGAGAGAAAGAGAGGCAGAGACACAGGCAGAGAGAGAAGCAGGCUCCAUGCACCGGGAGCCCGACGUGGGAAUCGAUCCUGGGUCUCCAGGAUCGUGCCCUAGGCCAAAGGCAGGCGCCAAACCGCUGCGCCACCCAAGGGACAUCCCAUUUCUAUUACGUAGGAAGUGAUUUUGAGCAGCAGCUGGUCAGGACAGUGUCUUGCUCUACUCAUCCUGGAAAUUACAGCCAUGACUCAUAGUGUGGUGUUGUGACAUCCUAACACCAUGUUUUAUCCUCCCUUCCACUCUACUGGUAGAGUGUAAAUUUGGGGCUGAGUAUGGAAGUUCCAGUGUUAGUGAAUUUCAGUCAGUUUUCAAAUGAAAAAAUCUGAGGCUUGGAAUCUGUUUUAAUGCCCUCCAGAAGCCAGUGAUUGUUUUUCCCCCUGGUGAUUGUUCACAUCUCAGUACUGUCCAACAUUACUUACAAAAUUUUAUGGUAUCUCAAAAAAUUAUUAUUGACGAACUGAUUGAUUCAACAACGGCCAUUUAGCAUUUUUUGGCAGGCGUUGGUGAUCUAGAGAUAGAAUAUGGAGGGGAGCAACAGUUGGAUAAAUAAUGCUGAGCCAUAAAGUUCAAACACGGUGAUCUGGGAGUUUAAGAGAAAUGGCCCAUGUACUUCAUCUGGUGGAUCUUGGAAGACUUCUCAAAGGAGACAGCGUCUGAGCUGACCACAAGGGCUGAGGAGGACACUGACAAGGGUUUCACGAGGAGAGACGUUGCCUGGGUGGAGAACUCUGGAUCCUAGGCUCAACCUCAGAUUCUCAGCGGGGAGGCCCCAGUACAUGUGGUUUUGAUGUGUAACCAGGGCUGAGAACCAAUAGGAAGAAGGGCUCAGGUCUGGUCAGAGACUAGGAAGACUGUCUCAGAGGCCGGGACAGUGUAAGCCAGCUAUUCUCCACCCAUCAGAAGACAAAUAAGAAGAAUUAAAUGAAGCACAAUGACUUCGUUUCCUUGGAAGAUGAAGUUCCUGGAUGUAGAGUGUGUUAAAGUCACCUAGAUUUUUACCAAUGUGGCAAGGAAGGGUCCUUUUCUGGAACAAGGGAGAAAAUGCAAUUCAAACCAAAAAACAGAGCAGAAUCUCCUUUGUCUCAGAUGGCCUAUGCCAGGCGUUGACAAACUCUUCUGCAAGGAGUCAGAAAGUAAAUAUUUCCAGCUUGAUAGACCGCACGGUCUGUCACAACUAUUCAACUAUGCCAUGGUAGUGCAAAAGCAGCUUAAUAAUACAAAAGUGAAUGAGCAGGGCUGUAUUCUAAGAGAACUUUGUUUAUGGACACUGAAAUGUGAAUUUCAUAUAAUUCUUUCAUGUUAUAAAAUAUUAUUCCUC